AACGUAGGUGGCAAGCGUUAUCCGGAAUUACUGGGCGUAAAGGGUGUGCAGGCGGGGAUACAAGUGGGGUAUGAAAUCUCCCAGCUUAACUGGGAUAGGUUAUGCCAGACUGUAUUUCUAGAGGACGAGAGAGGGGGGUGGAAUUCCACGUGUAGCAGUGAAAUGCGUAGAUAUGUGGAGGAAUACCGAUGGCGAAGGCAGCCCCCUGGGAUAACACUGACGCUCAUGCACGAAAGCGUGGGGAGCAAACAGG
rnacentral:rRNA from 1 species